GGGCCCCUCUGACUGGGGGAUGCUCAGUCAUCCCGCGGGACGUGUGCUCCCGGGUGGAGCCGGCGUUGGGAGGUCAGCCCGGUUCGGGAGCAGUGCCCGGCCGCGGUCUCCAGCAGUCCCUGAACUCACUGCACCAUCUGUACUUUUUGAAGUGUCGCUUCUCCAGACUCCAACCUCAAAUCAGAAACCAUGAGGAAUAUGAUUGAGAAAAGUGAACAAGGGGAGUUCUAAGGCCUAGUCUUCAAUCUCUAGGUAAUGCAAUGGGUAACCUUAGCUACAUUUUAUUGUUCAAAACAAUUCAUAAAUCCAUAUUCAAGAAACAUGGACAUAGACCCUGACUCUUAAUUGGAGGAAUGAGUACCGAGGCCAUUUUUUAUGAUCAACCAUACCCACGUGUACCUACAAUGAAAUGCUCUUCAAAAUUACCUGUUACUCAUAAUUUGAAGACCAUAGACUGAUAGUUCAUAUAUUUACCUGCACUUAUAAUGUGACAUCCUCUGUACUUGGAAUAAUAAAAAAAAAAUCAACUGCUAUGAAAGCAUCAGAAUCUUAUUUCUGCUAUUUACCCAGUUAUCUCAGCUGCAGUACAGGGUGAUUUACUUUCUAGUGGAUGGAGUGCUGUGGAAACUUAAGAGAGGAAGAGAUUUCUGAUUUGGAAUUACCAAGGCAGACUUU